rnacentral:lncRNA from 1 species
AUUUAAAACAUAUCUAAUAGGGUUAAUUUCAUACAGACCCUUGUAAAUAUAGUGAAUGACAAAUAUAUCCCUACAAACUUCAAUUUUUAUAUGUUGUCCCUACAAAAGUUUCAAUAUUUUCAAAUAUAUCUCUCUAGUUUGCUACCGUUAGAGAAUUAUUUAUAUUUUUAAUUUUGUUAUCAUAAAUAUGCACCUCCAAAAGACAUGAGGGUAAAAAUAUAAAAAACUAAUCAAGAUUAAGUAUUUAAUCUAUGGUUAACUAAAUUUUUCUAACGGAUUCUAACGGUAGGAAUAUAUUUGAAAAAUCAUGACUUUUGUAGGAAUAACAUAUGAAAGCUGAAUUUUGUAACGAUAUAUUUAUCAUUCACUAUAUUUAUAGGACCUGUAUAAAAUUAACUCUAUCUAAUAAUACCCAACCUAAACAAACCGUCUAUCCAUUACCCAAGUUUUAGGAAUUCCAUU